rnacentral:rRNA from 1 species
UACGGGGGGGGCAAGCGUUGUUCGGAAUUACUGGGCGUAAAGGGCUCGUAGGCGGCCAACUAAGUCAGACGUGAAAUCCCUCGGCUUAACCGGGGAACUGCGUCUGAUACUGGUUGGCUUGAAUCCGGGAGAGGGAUGUGGAAUUCCAGGUGUAGGCGGUGAAAUGACGUAGAUAUCUGGAGGAACACCGGUGGCGAAGGCGGCAUCCUGGACCGGUAUUGACGCUGAGGAGCGAAAGCCAGGGGAGCAAAGCGGG